rnacentral:misc_RNA from 1 species
UCACUAAUCAAGCCCGGCUUGUUGUUGGACCUCUUGUCGUUAAAGACAGGCCCUAAAGAUAAUGACGGCGUCAGUUGGACCCUAGAUGCAACGAGCUUUAACUAGCACGCAUUUUAGUUGGCCCUUUUGACCCGGUCUUUUUAACCAAUUUUUCA